GACGGAAGGUGCAAGCGUUGCUCGGAAUCACUGGGCGUAAAGGGUGCGUAGGCGGCUUGGUGGGUCUGGUGUGAAAGCCCCGGGCUCAGCCCGGGAAGGGCACUAGAAACUGCCGAGCUGGAGUGCCGGAGGGGAGAGUGGAAUUUCCGGUGGAGCGGUGAAAUGCGUAGAGAUCGGAAAGAACACCAACGGCGAAAGCACUCUGCUGGGCCGACACUGACACUGAGAGACGAAAGCUAGGGGAGCGAAUGGG
rnacentral:rRNA from 1 species